AUACGUAGGUGGCAAGCGUUGUCCGGAUUUAUUGGGCGUAAAGCGAGCGCAGGCGGUUUCUUAAGUCUGAUGUGAAAGCCCCCGGCUCAACCGGGGAGGGUCAUUGGAAACUGGGAGACUUGAGUGCAGAAGAGGAGAGUGGAAUUCCAUGUGUAGCGGUGAAAUGCGUAGAUAUAUGGAGGAACACCAGUGGCGAAGGCGGCUCUCUGGUCGGUAACUGACGCUGAGGCUCGAAAGCGUGGGGAGCAAACAGGAUUAGAUACCCUGGUAGUCCACGCCGUAAACGAUGAGUGCUAAGUGUUGGAGGGUUUCCGCCCUUCAGUGCUGCAGCAAACGCAUUAAGCACUCCGCCUGGGGAGUACGACCGCAAGGUUGAAACUCAAAUGAAUUGGCGGGG
rnacentral:rRNA from 1 species